GAUGUCUUCUUUUGAUCAUCUUCUUAAACUACUGGAAAAGGAUUUAAAAAAGCAAGACACUAAUUGGAGGAAAAGUAUCUGCCCUGAAGAAAAACUAGCAAUAUUUUUAAGAUAUGUAGCAUCCGGAUGUUCAUUUAAAGAUCUUCAUUACACCUAUCGUGUUGGUGUAUCGACCGUUAGCAACAUUAUAAAAGACGUUUCAAGAUGCAUAUGGAAUAAUUUGAGUGCUGUAUAUAUGCGACUUCCUGCAUCAGUCGAUUGAGUGGAAACAGAUAGCAGAUGGAUUUAACAAAAGAGCAAAUUUUCCACACUGUCUCGGUGCAGCAGAUGGAAAACAUGUCAGACUUAAAAAACCACAAAAUAGCGGUUCAAUGUAUAUGAAUUACAAGGAUUUUUUUUCCAUCGUAUUAUUAGCGAUCGUAGACUCUGACUAUCGCUUCGUAUACGUUAGUGUUGGAUCUUAUGGGAAAGAAUGUGAUUCAUCAAUAUUCAAGGAGACAACAUUUUGGAAAAUGAUGCUAGACGGCAGUUUACAAAUACCAGCACCAUGCCCAUUAUCAACAAACUCAGAGUUGAGAGUUCCAUAUGUGAUCAUUGGAGACGAAGGUUUCGGAUUACAUGAAAAUUUACUUAGGCCGUUUGGCGGGACGCACCUGGACAAAAAUAAGCGAAUAUUCAACUAUCGCUUGACUAGAGCUAGGAGAUACGUUGAAUGUGUUUUCGGUAUCUUAGCUAAUAAGUGGAGAAUAUUCCAUCGACCUUUAGACACUGAUAAAACAACAGCUAUAUGGAUCGUUAAGGCAUGUACUGUUCUACACAACUUUAUCAGGGAUGAGGAGGGUUUAAUCUCAAACAGUGAUAAUAGCGUAUCUGAAGAAGUUCAACUCGAAAACCUACCUAAUGAGAGAAGGACACGAGGUGGUAAUGCUGCUAAUUCAGUUCGAACAGAAUUUAUGAACUAUUUUAUGUCCGAAGCUGGGUCGGUUUCAUGGCAGGACCAAUCUAUCUAGAAUAUACCUCAAUUCAAAUAUAAAACGAAAACUUACCGAACUCUUGUCUUUGUUUUUGUUCCAUAUCCUCAAAAUCUUUGUUUAAAAUAACGCAUAUUUCGCGCCAACUUGCAGUACUAGCAGUCUUGUCUUUGUAUUUAUCUAGCGUCUUGUCCCAAAGAACUGGUCUCUGUUCCAUUAAACUAAUUAACAAUUCCUUGUCUAUUAAGUUAUCCCAUUCCUUGAUUGACAUGGUUGGUCGCAACAAAAGCACGCGUUCUU